CUCAGAACGAACGCUGGCGGCGUGGAUAAGACAUGCAAGUCGAACGGGAGAAUUGCUAGCUUGCUAAUAAUUCUCUAGUGGCGCACGGGUGAGUAACACGUGAGUAACCUGCCUCUUAGUGGGGGAUAGCCCUGGGAAACCGGGAUUAAUACCGCAUACGAUUGAAAGAUCAAAGCAGCAAUGCGCUAGGAGAUGGGCUCGCGGCCUAUUAGUUAGUUGGUGAGGUAACGGCUCACCAAGGCGAUGACGGGUAGCCGGUCUGAGAGGAUGUCCGGCCACACUGGAACUGAGACACGGUCCAGACACCUACGGGUGGCAGCAGUCGAGAAUCAUUCACAAUGGGGGCAACCCUGAUGGUGCGACGCCGCGUGGGGGAAUGAAGGUCUUCGGAUUGUAAACCCCUGUCAUGUGGGAGCAAAUUAAAAAGAUAGUACCACAAGAGGAAGAGACGGCUAACUCUGUGCCAGCAGCCGCGGUAAUACAGAGGUCUCAAGCGUUGUUCGGGAUCACUGGGCGUAAAGCGUGCGUAGGCUGUUUCGUAAGUCGUGUGUGAAAGGCAGGGGCUCAACCCCUGGAUUGCACAUGAUACUGCGAGACUAGAGUAAUGGAGGGGGAACCGGAAUUCUCGGUGUAGCAGUGAAAUGCGUAGAUAUCGAGAGGAACACUCGUGGCGAAGGCGGGUUCCUGGACAUUAACUGACGCUGAGGCACGAAGGCCAGGGGAGCGAAAGGGAUUAGAUACCCCUGUAGUCCUGGCAGUAAACGGUGCACGCUUGGUGUGCGGGGAAUCGACCCCCUGCGUGCCGGAGCUAACGCGUUAAGCGUGCCGCCUGGGGAGUACGGUCGCAAGAUUAAAACUCAAAGAAAUUGACGGGGACCCGCACAAGCGGUGGAGUAUGUGGCUUAAUUCGAUGCAACGCGAAGAACCUUACCUGGGCUUGACAUGUAAUGAACAACAUGUGAAAGCAUGCGACUCUUCGGAGGCGUUACACAGGUGCUGCAUGGCCGUCGUCAGCUCGUGUCGUGAGAUGUUUGGUUAAGUCCAGCAACGAGCGCAACCCCUGUUGCCAGUUACCAGCACGUCAAGGUGGGGACUCUGGCGAGACUGCCCAGAUCAACUGGGAGGAAGGUGGGGACGACGUCAGGUCAGUAUGGCCCUUAUGCCCAGGGCUGCACACGUACUACAAUGCCCAGUACAGAGGGGGCCGAAGCCGCGAGGCGGAGGAAAUCCUGAAAACUGGGCCCAGUUCGGACUGUAGGCUGCAACCCGCCUACACGAAGCCGGAAUCGCUAGUAAUGGCGCAUCAGCUACGGCGCCGUGAAUACGUUCCCGGGUCUUGUACACACCGCCCGUCACAUCAUGGAAGCCGGUCGCACCCGAAGUAUCUGAAGCCAACCGCAAGGAGGCAGGGUCCUAAGGUGAGAC
rnacentral:rRNA from 1 species